rnacentral:rRNA from 1 species
UACGUAGGGGGCAAGCGUUGUCCGGAAUUACUGGGCGUAAAGAGCUCGUAGGUGGUUUGUCGCGUCUGCCGUGAAAAUCCGGGGCUCAACCCCGGACUUGCGGUGGGUACGGGCAGACUAGAGUGUGGUAGGGGAGACUGGAAUUCCUGGUGUAGCGGUGAAAUGCGCAGAUAUCAGGAGGAACACCGACGGCGAAGGCAGGUCUCUGGGCCACUACUGACGCUGAGAAGCGAAAGCGUGGGGAGCGAACAGG